UAAAUUGUGCUGGUUAAUGAAACAUUACCAGACAUGUUAGUAAUAAUUGUGACCCAAACUUAUACUCCAGCCUCCACUGAAGUGCAUUUGGAGGGUUUUUUGUCACAAAACCUGACGGUGGUGACAUCUGAUGUAGUUCACAAAAAAGCAUGUGUUUUACAUGUUUUUGACAAGUUUUAAGAAUAUGCUUCCAAUAAGUAUCUACAAUUAUGUUGAAUUGUAAAAGUAAUUCACUUAAAUACAGUAAACAUAUUUUUUAAUUUCUAAUUCUGUCUGACGCUGGUGACAAAACCAAGAGCGAGCCCAUUUUAUGAAAAAUGUAAAACAUGGGGAGCUUGGCCAAUACAUUCACUGCACAGCCAAGACCUUCAUCUAUGAUAAUACACCUCUAUAUUUUGGAUUUGAACAACUUAAAACCUGUUUAUGCCACAUUUUCAAUAAUCUAGGUCUACUUCCUAGAGUAUCUAACAAAUGAAGAAAAAACACAUGCACAAACAUACUGUGCACACACAAAAAUAAAGUGUUUAUGCUAGAUGUCAUUGACUUGAGAGGGCUAUUUAUUUUGCUAAAUGUAGGUAAUAAUUAGGUCACUUUCACCACCUUCAGAUUACUGUCACCACCGUCAGUUCUUAAGUCACCACCGUAAGAAGGAGUUUUGGACAUUUUAAAUGAAUGUGCUUACAAAAUUUUCCUUUGGAGUUGUUGAAUUAUCAAAGUAAUUGCAAAUUUAAGCCUACACGAAUAUUUGUGAAAUUACAAAAAAAUGUUUGAUCUAUUUAGGCAUUAAGUAAGCAUUGUCUGACAGCACAUAUUUUUAAAUUAGAACACAUGAAGCAGUAUUAAAAUGGAAUUAAAGUGAAUUUUCAACAUUUAAAGGCGUAUGUGUGAACCAAAAAACACACACAAUCACUUAAGAACUCCAGAUACAUAUGCAACCAAAUCAAUACAAUUUGUAUUGCUUUUAAUUGUGUCUGACGGUGUUGACAAAAAACAAGGUAUGAUCAGAGAAAAACCUGAUUUCUGAAAAAAAAUCAAAAUGGUGAGAUUGACCUUGUGCAUUUCUGAAAAGCCAAGACUUUUGUCUACGAGGAUAUACCAUAUUAUUUUGUAAUUCACUUCGUUUUUUUCUUUCAAGAUUACAACCUGUUUUAGCCACUUUCUCAAGAAUCAGUGAAAGAACAUUCACCUGGAACUACGCCAUAUACUGUACUUCAGUCUGUGAGAUGUGGUUUUAGGUGGGGGGGGGGGGGGGGAUCCUAGCACCUGAUUGGGGAAACUACUGUCUUCACAUUUUUAAUGAGGUGCUACUUUUAGCUACUCACAGAUUCGAAGAUACAGUUGAAGUUACAGAAUCAAUGUCGACGAGUGAGUCCAUGUCAGCAGCCAUUGUUGACUGAAACAGCUGUCAUGUUUCACUUAUCUUUCCCUUCUCCAUUUGAGGCAAAUCUGAAGAUCCUCCAGACACUGGAAAUAUGCAAGGGCCUGGAAAGAGCCAAGUCAAAUUGAAAGAUUAUCAAAAAACAUUUGGGUUGUUGACUUCUCUGAGGAACCCUUAAGAAAACCUCUUCGCUUUUCCAAGAACCAAUUUGU